ensembl:antisense Gm10863 predicted gene 10863
CCGCCUUGGAUGGACAGAGGGACGGAGCAGCAAGCAUCCGGCCUCCCCGGCUUCCCUGCAGCGGUCUCCAACUGCUGUCUGCCCGCUGCCCGCCUGCCUGGCAUCUCUCUCCCGAGUGAAGAUGCCCUAAGUCCAGAGCAGGGUCUGUGGGACAGGCCUAGGAGGUGUGCGUGCAUACCAAAGGAGUUGUGCUUCACUCGGAGUGACCAACCGAAGCUUAUGCCUGCCCACCCCAGGAUGGAAGCCUGGCCUGUAAGAGUUUUUGAUAGUGAAUCAGGAUAAAUCACAGAAACUCGUGUCUCAUAACCCCAGGGAAGCAGAGGCUGCAGACAAUCUAUAAGGUGCUAGCUGCAUUCCUGGCCUGGGAGCAGGGAGCCUGUCUGACCCCUGUGUCACACUGGAUGGUUUUACAGAGGUGCCCCACCUGAUGCUGGAUGGAAGUCAUCACCCUACAGUGUGGGUAUCAAGGGGGGAGCAAGGGGGCUAGGAAGCUCCAGAGGGAUUAGGUGGUCUCCAGUCACUCCCCUCUGUGUGAACCCUGCUGCUCUUCCACUCUGGAGCUGGAAAGCUGUCAGCUGCCACGCCAUGGUGCCAAGCACAUAGUAGGACUUCAAGCAUGUUUGCCCUGUACUUGUCUGCUCUUGACUGACUUCAAAGCCUUGUCCCCCAACUACCCACACGGCCACCUUACUCAACAGAAAUAUUCCUGUGAUAGAGACAGAAGGGCCC